GUGCCAGCCGCUGCGGUAAUACGUAGGGUCCGAGCGUUGUCCGGAAUUAUUGGGCGUAAAGAGCUCGUAGGUGGUGUGUCGCGUCUGCUGUGUAAGUCCGGGGCUUAACUCCGGUUUUGCAGUGGAUACGGGCAUGCUAGAGGUAGGUAGGGGAGACUGGAAUUCCUGGUGUAGCGGUGAAAUGCGCAGAUAUCAGGAGGAACACCGGUGGCGAAGGCGGGUCUCUGGGCCUUACCUGACGCUGAGGAGCGAAAGCGUGGGAGCGAACAGGAUUAGAUACCCUGGUAGUCCACGCUGU
rnacentral:rRNA from 1 species